rnacentral:rRNA from 1 species
AGCGAACAUUGGCGGUAGGCUUAACACAUGCAAGUCGAGCGAGGCGUAAUAGUCGAGCGGCGAACGGGUGAGUAAUACAUGGAAAUCUACCCUGAAGUGGGGGAUAACGUUCAGAAAUGGACGCUAAUACCGUAUAAUCCAUAUUGGGAAAACGUUGCAGCGCUUUAGGAUGAGUCCAUGGCUGAUUAGCUAGUUGGUGAGGUAAUGGCUCACCAAGGCGACGAUCAGUAGCUGGUCUGAGAGGAUGACCAGCCACACUGGAACUGAGACACGGUCCAGACUCCUACGGGAGGCAGCAGUGGGGAAUCUUGCGCAAUGGGGGCAACCCUGACGCAGCCAUACCGCGUGAGUGAUGAAGGUCUUCGGAUUGUAAAGCUCUUUCGGCGGGGACGACGAUGACGGUACCCGCAAAAGAAGUCACGGCUAACUUCGUGCCAGCCGCCGCCGUAA